rnacentral:hammerhead_ribozyme from 1 species
AUCCAGAUGAAGAGUCCCAAAUAGGACGAAACGCGCGUCCUGGAU